rnacentral:lncRNA from 12 species
AUGAUGACCUUGUUUUGUAGUGCAUCUCUGCAUAUGGCAUCAGAAGAGACCAGUAAUCCAUGUAAAAGUAGCUCGCACAAGUUAGUGGAUGACUCCAUGGAUCCUCUUUUAAAGGAUGCAGUAGAUGGUGCCAGGACAGAAUUGAUAUCCUCACAGGAACGCAGUCGUGAUGAUGUGACCUCUUUAAUUGGUCCACCCACGAUGUUCUCCUGUAAUUCUGUCAUGCCAACAGAUGUGCCAAAGUUGGAUGAGAUCCUGACAGAAUCCCCAGGAACUAAAGCUCCCACUCAAAGGAGAUGUAGGAAAUUCACUUGCAUUUUUUUUUUGGUCACAUCAAUUACUAUAUUAAACCUGGUAUAUUCAAGGAGACCAGAUGGUAAUGUCCUGUCUGAUCUCUCCAUGAAGGCAAGAUAAAGGUCAAGCCAAACCUAAAGCCAGGUGUGAAGGUUGGGCCUUCAAAAAAUGGCCAGUUUGACUGUGCACCCAGUCAGUAUCUACCACCAUCUCAAGCCACAGCACAAACUGAGAUUGAGUCCAACCAGAAAACAUCUGCACAAGAAACAGUUGGUCCUAAAAUCCAAUCAAGCCCUGAAGACAGUGAGAGAAGAGCACAUCUUGGACCUGACGCCGUGAUAUCAACAGCCAUUGUGCCAGUCUCUGAAAAUAUGAGCGAUGAGAGUCCAAUGAAAUGGGAAAGUCCUCUCAGAAAAGAGCUCCAGACAGAUGAGGACUCUGUUGUUGUCCCUCCAGUGAGUCAGAGGCUGUUCUGUUGAAACAGACCAUUCACACUGUUUUUGCUGUAUUAUAAUUUGAUACAUUAGGCAUUCACUAAAUGUUUCUUCACAGAUGCACAGUGCUGAGGGGAACACUGAAGCUGGUAAUAAGGGUGUUUCACACAUGGUUUUGGCUGAUGCCUUUGUACUCUCAUCAGGAGAAAUGAAGGAUGUUUUUAAUAAGGAAAAGGAAAGCCCUCAUGAUUGUGAGCUCCAAAAACCUGAGGACUUUUCUGUAUGUUUUACAGAGAGUGAGAAAGCUCUUCCUGCAGUUAGUGACCAAGUAAAUGUCUUUGUUUAUAUUUAAACAAAAAAAUGAGUUCUUCUAUCACGUACCUUAUAAAAUUGCUUGAUGAGUGGUCCAUUUCAAUUUGAAGUCUCCUUAAAGUUAUUUUUUUACGUAAAAGUUUCAAGUUUACUAGGAGCACAUUACAUGAGUUG